rnacentral:rRNA from 1 species
GACGAACGCUGGCGGCGUGCUUAACACAUGCAAGUCGAACGGAAAGGCCCUGCUUUUGUGGGGUGCUCGAGUGGCGAACGGGUGAGUAACACGUGAGUAACCUGCCCUUGACUUUGGGAUAACUUCAGGAAACUGGGGCUAAUACCGGAUAGGAGCUCCUGCUGCAUGGUGGGGGUUGGAAAGUUUCGGCGGUUGGGGAUGGACUCGCGGCUUAUCAGCUUGUUGGUGGGGUAGUGGCUUACCAAGGCUUUGACGGGUAGCCGGCCUGAGAGGGUGACCGGCCACAUUGGGACUGAGAUACGGCCCAGACUCCUACGGGAGGCAGCAGUGGGGAAUAUUGCACAAUGGGCGGAAGCCUGAUGCAGCAACGCCGCGUGCGGGAUGACGGCCUUCGGGUUGUAAACCGCUUUCGCCUGUGACGAAGCGUGAGUGACGGUAAUGGGUAAAGAAGCACCGGCUAACUACGUGCCAGCAGCCGCGGUGAUACGUAGGGUGCGAGCGUUGUCCGGAUUUAUUGGGCGUAAAGGGCUCGUAGGUGGUUGAUCGCGUCGGAAGUGUAAUCUUGGGGCUUAACCCUGAGCGUGCUUUCGAUACGGGUUGACUUGAGGAAGGUAGGGGAGAAUGGAAUUCCUGGUGGAGCGGUGGAAUGCGCAGAUAUCAGAGGAACACCAGUGGCGAAGGCGGUUCUCUGGGCCUUUCCUGACGCUGAGGAGCGAAAGCGUGGGGAGCGAACAGGCUUAGAUACCCUGGUAGUCCACGCUGUAAACGGUGGGUACUAGGUGUGGGGUCCAUUCCACGGGUUCCGUGCCGUAGCUAACGCUUUAAGUACCCCGCCUGGGGAGUACGGCCGCAAGGCUAAAACUCAAAGGAAUUGACGGGGCCCCGCACAAGCGGCGGAGCAUGCGGAUUAAUUCGAUGCAACGCGUAGAACCUUACCUGGGUUUGACAUGGAUCGGGAGUGCUCAGAGAUGGGUGUGCCUCUUUUGGGGUCGGUUCACAGGUGGUGCAUGGCUGUCGUCAGCUCGUGUCGUGAGAUGUUGGGUUAAGUCCCGCAACGAGCGCAACCCUUGUUCACUGUUGCCAGCACGUUAUGGUGGGGACUCAGUGGAGACCGCCGGGGUCAACUCGGAGGAAGGUGGGGAUGACGUCAAGUCAUCAUGCCCCUUAUGUCCAGGGCUUCACGCAUGCUACAAUGGCUGGUACAGAGAGUGGCGAGCCUGUGAGGGUGAGCGAAUCUCGGAAAGCCGGUCUCAGUUCGGAUUGGGGUCUGCAACUCGACCUCAUGAAGUCGGAGUCGCUAGCAAUCGCAGAUCAGCAACGCUGCGGUGAAUACGUUCCCGGGGCU